GAUACAGCAGGUGGCGGUGUGCAGCUUGUCCGAGCCGCCAGUGAAAACAGAGAAGAAGAAAAAGACAGCGAGAAACCGUAGAAGAAGACAGAACACCUCCAGGCAAAACACAAACGCAUGGCUGGGAAUCACUCACGCUUCAGUCAGAGAGUGCCGUCAUGACGAGGUGGGCCAGAGCCAAUAACGUCCAUAAACACAAGCCAGCUGAGGCCACCCCAUGGAGUCAGCUGAGAGGAGGAAGAGGAAGAGGAGGGGGAGGAGGGCCUCAGAGGGACCAGCUGAGAGGGACUCAGCCUGGUGGAUCAGCUGUGAAAAAACCCAACCGACCCAAGAAGGAGUACCUCAACGAGGACGUGAAUGGCUUCAUGGAGUAUCUGCAGCACAGCGGACAGCCUCUGCCCAGAGGAGAUAAAGGAGGGACGGAGGGGGAGCGGGAGCUCAGGGAGGAGGUGGAAACGGCCCUGAAAAAAGACAGAAGAAGAGAGGACAGGAGGGUGAAGAGGCAGAACGACAAGAAGAACAAAAUGCUGUGUUUUAACUGCAGGAAGCCCGGUCACGGUUUGGCUGACUGCCCGGAGGCGGACAGAGACGAGGAGAUGGGCCGAGGCAUCUGUUACCGCUGCGGCUCCACCGAACACGAAAUCCAGAAAUGUCGAGCCAAAGUGGACCCUGCUCUGGGUGAACACCCAUUUGCUAAGUGCUUCAUCUGCGGUCAGACUGGACACUUGUCGCGGGGCUGCCCUGAUAAUCCCAAAGGACUUUAUGCACAAGGAGGCUCCUGUCGUGUUUGUGGUUCAGUGGAACAUUUUCAGAAGGACUGUCCAGAGCACCAGGCUGCAAGUGAGUCUCUCCUGUCUCCAUCUUUAAACUGAUUCCUCUGGGUUUCCUGCACGGUUUUACGGAUCAAAUCACUGUGACGUCACACUAACAACGACAGUCACUUCGGCUCACACAGUGACAGUUCCCUGGUUGUCCAACAACAUGAGUGCAGACUAUGAGGAAGUCCAUGUCCCAGUGAAGAAAGCCAAACCCAAACAGACCAAAGUGGUGAAGUUCUGAUCUGCAGAGAUUCUCUACAGCUGAUUGAUCACUGGGACUCUGCUCAGGAGCUUCUCUCUUUCUGGACUCUGAUAAAUGGACUAAUUAUCUGCUGACAUGCAGUGAAAAUGUGCCUCAGACACAUUCUGACUCUCUUUGUGUAUAUUUGAAAUCCUUUUAAUAAAAACAAGUAUCGUAUA